rnacentral:rRNA from 1 species
AUUGAACGCUGGCGGCAUGCUUUACACAUGCAAGUCGAACGGUAACAGGCCGCAAGGUGCUGACGAGUGGCGAACGGGUGAGUAAUGCAUCGGAACGUGCCCAGUCGUGGGGGAUAACUACUCGAAAGAGUAGCUAAUACCGCAUACGAUCUAUGGAUGAAAGCGGGGGACCGUAAGGCCUCGCGCGAUUGGAGCGGCCGAUGUCAGAUUAGGUAGUUGGUGGGGUAAAGGCUCACCAAGCCAACGAUCUGUAGCUGGUCUGAGAGGACGACCAGCCACACUGGGACUGAGACACGGCCCAGACUCCUACGGGAGGCAGCAGUGGGGAAUUUUGGACAAUGGGCGCAAGCCUGAUCCAGCAAUGCCGCGUGCAGGAAGAAGGCCUUCGGGUUGUAAACUGCUUUUGUACGGAACGAAACGGCUCUGGUUAAUACCCGGGGCUAAUGACGGUACCGUAAGAAUAAGCACCGGCUAACUUCGUG